GCGUGAGUGAAGAAGGCCUUCGGGUUGUAAAGCUCUUUUGCCUGUGACGAUGAUGACGGUAACAGGAGAAUAAGCCCCGGCUAACUUCGUGCCAGCAGCCGCGGUAAUACGAAGGGGGCUAGCGUUGUUCGGAUUUACUGGGCGUAAAGGGCGCGUAGGCGGUCAGACAAGUCAGGCGUGAAAGUCCCGGGCUCAACCUGGGGAUUGCGUUUGAUACUGUAGGACUUGAAUGUGAGAGAGGAUGGCGGAAUUUCCAGUGUAGAGGUGAAAUUCGU
rnacentral:rRNA from 1 species